CCCCGUCAGAUGAAGUGGCGGCACGCGUAACACACGCAAUCGAACGGUAGCACAGAGGAGCUUCUCCUUGGGUGACGAGUGGCGGACGGGUGAGUAAUGUCUGGGAAACUGCCCGAUGGAGGGGGAUAACUACUGGAAACGGUAGCUAAUACCGCAUAACGUCGCAAGACCAAAGAGGGGGACCUUCGGGCCUCUUGCCAUCGGAUGUGCCCAGAUGGGAUUAGCUAGUAGGUGGGGUAACGGCUCACCUAGGCGACGAUCCCUAGCUGGUCUGAGAGGAUGACCAGCCACACUGGAACUGAGACACGGUCCAGACUCCUACGGGAGGCAGCAGUGGGGAAUAUUGCACAAUGGGCGCAAGCCUGAUGCAGCCAUGCCGCGUGUAUGAAGAAGGCCUUCGGGUUGUAAAGUACUUUCAGCGAGGAGGAAGGCGUUGUGGUUAAUAACCGCAGCGAUUGACGUUACUCGCAGAAGAAGCACCGGCUAACUCCGUGCCAGCAGCCGCGGUAAUACGGAGGGUGCAAGCGUUAAUCGGAAUUACUGGGCGUAAAGCGCACGCAGGCGGUCUGUCAAGUCGGAUGUGAAAUCCCCGGGCUCAACCUGGGAACUGCAUCCGAAACUGGCAGGCUAGAGUCUUGUAGAGGGGGGUAGAAUUCCAGGUGUAGCGGUGAAAUGCGUAGAGAUCUGGAGGAAUACCGGUGGCGAAGGCGGCCCCCUGGACAAAGACUGACGCUCAGUGCGAAAGCUGGACCG
rnacentral:rRNA from 1 species